AACGCACAUUGCACCCGGUGGUAUUCUGCCGGGUAUGCCUGUUCGAGCGUCAUUUCUACCCUCAGGGUCUCCUGUCUCUUUUCUGGAGAGAGAGAGUUCCUGGUGUUGGGAUUUACAGGUGGUCUUCCGGACGGUCUGUAGACCCUAAAUGCAUCGGCGUGCGUGCUGUACGUUUUCCUCUGCGUAGUGGAUUUUUUCUUUAUCUCGCAUCGGAACGCAGCGCUGCCCAGCCGCUAAAAAGAAAACUUGCUUAGCGAAGUUUGACCUCGAAUCAGGUAGGGUUACCCGCUGAACUUAA
rnacentral:misc_RNA from 1 species